rnacentral:lncRNA from 1 species
UAUGCCUCAAUUAUUUCCUAUUUUAGGCCUCUAUUAAAUUCUAAUAUCAUGAAUCGUUUAUAGUUUUCCAUUAAACAUCCUGUUUAACAAAAAACUAGGGGGUAAUGUUGGGUCAUGAUAUUUCUCCUAUUUGGGCCGGGUAGAUUGGGCUCAUUUAUUAAUUUAAUCCAUUGGGCUUUUAUAAUUAAGCCAUGGGGCUCGUUGGGCCCAAUCACUGUGUUAGCUUUAUUUAAUCCUAUAGGACCGGGUCGGUUCAUUAGAUUAACC